CUGCCUGAUUGAAUGUCCACUCAAUUUUCGCAUUGAAUGCAAUUUAAGAUUGAAUAUCAUUUAUAAUCCUUACAAGAAACUGAAGAAGUUAAGACGUUCCUUUUAUUUACUCAUCGUCACCACCGUCACCGUUUACUUCAUCAGCGGCAACAGUUACGAUCACCAAAUCUGUUGUUCCCCAAAUUCUCAUACCCAAAGACAAAAUCUGGCAUGAAAGGUGUCAUUGCAAAUGGUCAGAAUGUUGUGAACAAGCACAUUAUCAACGGUGGUGAAAAGAUAUAGUUAGAACAUGAAUCCAAUGUCUUUAAAUCGGCUAUCGAUUGUGCUCAGUGACUAUGGUUUCUUCACAAGUACCCUGGAGGAUGCAGAGUUCAUCAUGAUUAAAGAUGACGAACAUCUCCUAAUUAUGAACUUUCAAGCGAAGCCGGCCGACAAGGAUAAGCAUAAUGUCUAAGAAAGCUGCAGCUAUGAUAUACACAAUUUCACUUGGACCUAAUCUAAAAGGUCGAGGUACUUUGAAUUGGGUUGGCUGAUAUAAUUGGUCAACCCAACACAAACCAUUUAAUAAAUGACUAACCUGAACAUGACGUAUUUAAUAAACUGGUUGGUCCGAUAUCCCGUAUAAGUUUUAGGCUUUUGUAUUUUGUUUUUAUGCUUGUAUUUAGAUUCAUGUGUGUUUAGGUAGGUUUAUGUGUGUUUAGGUAGGUUUGAUGUCUUUGACACUAAUGAAUACAUGUUCGGGCUCACAUAUUCAACCCAUCAACAUGAAAUCCUUAAACUCACCAUCCAGCAUGUGCACAACCUUGAUAGUUUUCAAUUAAACUAAAUUGUUAGCUUUGUUUGCUCUUAAGGGUUGCGGGGUAUGUAGUAUGGCCAAAUGUUGCCCUAUAUCAUUGUGUGUGGCAUAGACUUCUCAUUGUUUUUUAUUUUACACAAAUAGUUCACAAUCAAAUUGCCCAACUAAGCUGAUUAAAUUUUGACAAUAUUUAUUCAUCUGUAUGUGUAGGCAUAAGGGUUGGAAAGACAACUUUUUUUUUUUGCAAAGAACUACGAAUGAAACUCUUGAGCUUUAGGAUCUCAUUGAGAUUGUUCCUGAACCCACUGACAAGUGGAAACAUAUUGGGUCUGAUCACUUUAAUAUAUUAGAUGCUUUUUAUGCUGAGACGCAAAGGUAUGCUUACAUGUUCCAGAACCAUGUAUUUGUUACAAGAGUUAUGCAGAGAAGGAGUCAUCGAGUAGAAUUAAUACCCUCAGAUUGAUGGAGAAAAGUGUUUUCAAUGAUAGGAUGGAUGCGAGGCUUCAACCAUAUAUAAAAUC